UUGCGACCCUGGAAGCCAGACAUAAAAGAACCUUAGAAACAACAAUAUACAGAGAGCUAACAGAUAAACGCAACCAGCUCACAGCGCACCUUAACAGGAGGAUCCAACGCGCGUACGAACACUACAGACACAUGAUACAUGAACACGGAGACAAGUGCGGGAGACUGCUGGCGAAUCUCCUGAGGCAACGUAAGACACAACUGUAUAUACCGAAAAUAAAAAACGCACAGCAGCAAAUCAGACACCUCCCAGAACAAAUAGCAACGGAGUUCCAACGAUACUACCAGGACCUUUACCACCUCCGCAAGGAAGCACAGGACGACCAGAGACAUCAGAAAACGGCAGACAUACGCCAGUACCUGAACUCAGCAAACAUGCCAGAUAUAACGGAAGCAGAGAAAGACGCGCUAGAAGCGCCUAUAACACCCGAAGAGUUGGCAUACGCCAUCAAGAAAGCUAAAACGGGGAAGGCACCGGGGCCAGAUGGACUGCCCCUCCAAUACUACAAGGUCUUCACGCAAGAGCUUCAGCCGAAACUACUUAAAGCCCUGAACUCCAUACAGGACGGAGCUGCACCUACGGCCCAGUUCACCUCAGCAAACAUUACCCUGCUACCAAAGGAGGGCAAAGACCCGACAUUGUGCCCAAACUACCGCC